GUGCUCACCUCGGCGGCACAUAUACUAAAACUGGAAUGAUACAGAGAAGAUUAGCAUGGCUCCUGAGCAAGGAUGACAUGAAAGUUCAUGAAGCAUUCCACAUUUUU